ACAUACAACUAUAUUUUGAUAAUGGAUCUUAUAUGAAUUUUAGUUUCCUAUUAUUCCAGAUAUGAUCUCGUGGAUCUCACCCGUCAGGCAUUAGCAAAGUAUGCAAACAAAGUAUUCUUGAAGAUUAUAGAAGGGUACCAACUCAGUAAUUUAAAACAAGUGACCAUAUAUAGCCAGCACUUUCUUGACCUUAUGAAAGAGCUGGACUUGCUUUUGUCAUGUCAUGAUGGAUUUCUGCUUGGACCCUGGUUGGAAAGUGCCAAACGCCUUGCAAGAGACCCAGAACAGGAGCAACAGUUUGAAUGGAAUGCAAGGACUCAAGUAACCAUGUGGUUUGAUAACACUGAGACUGAAGCUAGUUUGCUUCGUGAUUAUGGAAACAAGUACUAGAGUGGUCUUCUACUGGACUACUAUGGGCCAAGAGCAUCUAUAUAUUUCAAGUACAUGAUAGACAGCUUGGUGAAGGGGGAGAGUUUCCCAUUAGAAGACUGGAGGAGGGACUGGAUAGGCCUUACCAACAAGUGGCAAAGCAGUAGAAAUUUGUUUCCAGUGAAAGCUUCUGGUGAUGCUCUAAAUAUAUCUCGAUGGCUAUAUGACAAGUAUUUUUGUACUGAUAACUUGCAAUCACUUUAUAUGGGUUCAAACUAUGAUGAAGCUGCUAAUUUUGUGAUCUUUUAUUUUUGACACACAAUCUCCUGAUGAUAAUUUCGUUCCCGAAGUUCAAAAGAAUCUUAUUGCCUUGGUUUUUUUAUCAAAACAAUUAUGUUAUGAGUUGUUUGUUCCAUAAUGGAUUCCUAAUCUAUUUGUCGAGAAGGCAUUGUCUAGGCAAUGAUAUGUCAAUUUGCCACAAUUUGAGUUUCUUAUUACUCUGUAACACCAGAGUCAACUUAGUACUUAUGAGCACUUAAUAUGUUUGGUGUUCUCACUGUUUAUGGACUAUGGACAUUUCAAAAUAUAUUAAUGGGAACUUUUAGUACCAAA